GAGCUGAAGAAAACAAAUGCCUUCUUAUAUAAAGGUGACUUUCCAGACAUGUCUGACAAGAACAUGACGACAUUCUCUUUAGUUGGUUGGAUGAAAUAUAUAGCAUCCCUGGAGGGAAAAGGUUGCCUUCGUCUGUAUAUAUCUUCUACCAAUGAAAUUCCUUCCUGUGUGAUAUCAGCCAUCUUCCAUGCAUAAGACAUGAUCUUUACGGUAAGUUUGUCCAUGAUGAGUACCUUCCA
rnacentral:misc_RNA from 1 species